rnacentral:lncRNA from 1 species
CAAAAUCACCAACGAUCUAAGUUCCCAUCAAUCUCACAUUUCUAGAUAACAAGCCGACUUUAAUACUAAAUAUGAAGAUCCAACUCACUGGUAUAAAUAAUUUAUUAAACGUUAAACAAUCGGUCCAAAAUAUUUAAGUUCAAUUAUAAAUCUCUGAUCUUUAUAUUUUUAUUCACAAUUCCGUUUUCAUGUAAUGAGAGACUAUUGGUCACGCCAUAAUAUAAAAGGUUGUUUAGUUAUACGUAGUUAAU